UGAACGCUGGCGGCGUGCUUAACACAUGCAAGUCGAGCGAUGAAGUUUCCUUCGGGAAACGGAUUAGCGGCGGACGGGUGAGUAACACGUGGGUAACCUGCCUCAUAGAGUGGAAUAGCCUUCCGAAAGGAAGAUUAAUACCGCAUAACGUUGAAAGAUGGCAUCAUCAUUCAACCAAAGGAGCAAUCCGCUAUGAAAUGGACCCGCGGCGCAUUAGCUAGUUGGUGGGGUAACGGCCUACCAAGGCGACGAUGCGUAGCCGACCUGAGAGGGUGAUCGGCCACAUUGGGACUGAGACACGGCCCAGACUCCUACGGGAGGCAGCAGUGGGGAAUAUUGCACAAUGGGGGAAACCCUGAUGCAGCAACGCCGCGUGAGUGAUGAAGGUUUUCGGAUCGUAAAGCUCUGUCUUUGGGGAAGAUAAUGACGGUACCCAAGGAGGAAGCCACGGCUAACUACGUGCCAGCAGCCGCGGUAAUACGUAGGUGGCGAGCGUUAUCCGGAUUUACUGGGCGUAAAGGGAGCGUAGGCGGAUGAUUAAGUGGGAUGUGAAAUACCCGGGCUCAACUUGGGUGCUGCAUUCCAAACUGGUUAUCUAGAGUGCAGGAGAGGAGGGUAGAAUUCCUAGUGUAGCGGUGAAAUGCGUAGAGAUUAGGAAGAACACCAGUGGCGAAGGCGACUCUCUGGACUGUAACUGACGCUGAGGCUCGAAAGCGUGGGGAGCAAACAGGAUUAGAUACCCUGGUAGUCCACGCCAUAAACGAUGAAUACUAGGUGUGGGGGUUUCAACACCUCCGUGCCGCCGCUAACGCAUUAAGUAUUCCGCGUGGGGAGUACGGUCGCAAGAUUAAAACUCAAAGGAAUUGACGGGGACCCGCACAAGUAGCGGAGCAUGUGGUUUAAUUCGAAGCAACGCGAAGAACCUUACCUACACUUGACAUCCCUUGCAUUACUCUUAAUCGAGGAAAUCCCUUCGGGGACAAGGUGACAGGUGGUGCAUGGUUGUCGUCAGCUCGUGUCGUGAGAUGUUGGGUUAAGUCCCGCAACGAGCGCGACCCUUGUCGUUAGUUACUACCAUUAAGUUGAGGACUCUAGCGAGACUGCCUGGGUUAACCAGGAGGAAGGUGGGGAUGACGUCAAAUCAUCAUGCCCCUUAUGUGUAGGGCUACACACGUGCUACAAUGGCUGGUACAGAGAGAUGCAAUACCGCGAGGUGGAGCCAAACUUAAAAACCAGUUUCAGUUCGGAUUGUAGGCUGAAACUCGCCUACAUGAAGCUGGAGUUACUAGUAAUCGCGAAUCAGAAUGUCGCGGUGAAUACGUUCCCGGGUCUCGUACACACCGCCCGUCACACCAUGAGAGUUGGCAAUACCCGAAGUCCGUGAGCUAACCGCAAGGAGGCAGCGGCCGAAGGUAGGGUCAGC
rnacentral:rRNA from 1 species